rnacentral:rRNA from 1 species
CCUUUUGUAGAAUGAACCGGCGAGUUACGAUUUGAUGCAAGGUUAAGCAGUAAAUGUGGAGCCGUAGCGAAAGCGAGUCUGAAUAGGGCGUUUAGUAUUUGGUCGUAGACCCGAAACCAGGUGAUCUACCCUUGGUCAGGUUGAAGUUCAGGUAACACUGAAUGGAGGACCGAACCGACUUACGUUGAAAAGUGAGCGGAUGAACUGAGGGUAGCGGAGAAAUUCCAAUCGAACCUGGAGAUAGCUGGUUCUCUCCGAAAUAGCUUUAGGGCUAGCCUCAAGUGAUGAUUAUUGGAGGUAGAGCACUGUUUGGACGAGGGGCCCCUCUCGGGUUACCGAAUUCAGACAAACUCCGAAUGCCAAUUAAUUUAACUUGGGAGUCAGAACAUGGGUGAUAAGGUCCGUGUUCGAAAGGGAAACAGCCCAGACCACCAGCUAAGGUCCCAAAAUAUAUGUUAAGUGGAAAAGGAUGUGGCGUUGCCCAGACAACUAGGAUGUUGGCUUAGAAGCAGCCAUCAUUUAAAGAGUGCGUAAUAGCUCACUAGUCGAGUGACACUGCGCCGAAAAUGUACCGGGGCUAAACAUAUUACCGAAGCUGUGGAUUGUCCUUUGGACAAUGGUAGGAGAGCGUUCUAAGGGCGUUGAAGCAUGAUCGUAAGGACAUGUGGAGCGCUUAGAAGUGAGAAUGCCGGUGUGAGUAGCGAAAGACGGGUGAGAAUCCCGUCCACCGAUUGACUAAGGUUUCCAGAGGAAGGCUCGUCCGCUCUGGGUUAGUCGGGUCCUAAGCUGAGGCCGACAGGCGUAGGCGAUGGAUAACAGGUUGAUAUUCCUGUACCACCUAUAAUCGUUUUA